AUGCAGAGAUGCUGGCCACAUGACCUUGGAGCACCAUUACCUUCCCGAACUGCUAGGUUGGCAGAAGCUGGAGCUAACAGCGGCCGCUCACUCCGCUCCCGGUGUUUGAAUCUGGGACCUUUGGGUCUGCAAGUUCAGCAGCUCAGUGCUUUAACACACUUCGCCACCGGGGUGCCUUUUAAACAGUCAUACAUACCAAAUCUACCAGUUGCAGAAGGCUAAAUGGAUGUCAUUAUAACAGUACCAAAAAAAAUUAUAGUUGCAUGGGCAUGUGCAAUUACUGCCUCCCGCCAGCACACACACAGUUCUGGGAUGACAAUAGGCCACAACUUGUUUUUUGUUUCAGAAAAGAAUCAGGGUUGGUAGCUGUGCAUGGGUCCUGGAUCUGGGAUUGGGCAGCCCGCUGUUAGCCCAUACCACUUAACCAUGCCAGGGGGUGCUGCUGUUACCGACCAGCACAAUACUGAGACCCCGUAACAGUCGCACCCCUGGAAAACCACUGAAUCAGAAAGUGAAAAUUAUGAUUGAAGAAGCAAAUGAAGAAAAAGGAGAAAGAAAAUCUCAUCAAAGAAAGCUAGUUCUCUCCGAUCGUGAAGUGAAAGUCAAACCACCAAUUUUUUAAUCACUUUCCUAUUCCUUCUUUCACAACCCCUUCAUCCUUACUUACCUAACCCUAUCCUCUACCUCUCCCCACCCCUUCUCUAUUCCCAGGUCCAUCGCAAUUCCCCACCCUACCUAUCUGUCCCCCUUUAACCCAAUCCUUUCCCCGUCAUUUAGCCCGGCCCCCUCUAUACUUCUUUCUUUUAUAUAUGUAAUAAAGUAAUAAACAAUAUUAUUUUAAAAAAGAAAACCACUGGACCCUCCCCCCUCCAAUGAGGGUUAAGCAAGUCAGAUCCAGAGCCCAUGCUGCAUGUCACAAAAGGGAGGGAGUGGGAGCUUAACAGGUCAUAAAAAUUAUAGGAAUCAGACCAAAGCUUGUAUUGUAGAACAUGGCCAAAUAUGCUAACGUUGCAUGAAAUCAUAUCUGGAUGGGCACAACAAUGUCACUUCUGUGGAAUUUCUUUGGCGUUCUGCAUCCCAGCCUUCUGAAAUUGCAUAUUUGGUGAACUUGUACAGGUGCCUUGUUGCAUCACUCCCAUCUUUUCCAGAACACACACACAAACUUCCCUGUAUAAUUUAAAGAUCAUUUAUAAAUAGUUGAGGAACAGACAAGAAGAAAAAAGAAAGAAAAUGUGACAGGAAUAAGGUCAGGAUACUGAAUGCAACUUUUCUCACUGUCAGUGCACAUGUUGUGAACACAGACAACAAGAGCUUCUUCCAUUAUUAGAAAAAUACAAUGGAAGAAUAUGACCUAUUGAAAAAGAAGAGAUGUGACAAAAAAUGAGGAGAAAUAGCACUAUAUGUCAAAUACAUAUUCACUUGUACAUAAAGUCAUGAGAGUGAUCACUGUGGACCAGUUGAAAGAAUUUGGAUAAAAUACAUAGUGAAAUAAAUAAAUGCAGCAUUCUGGUAGGAGUUUACUACAAGACACCAAACCAUGAAGAUAUAGUAGAUUCACUUUUCAUAAAGAAAUUUCAAAAAUCUCAGAUACAAGCUGUUUGGGACCUCAAUUACCCUGAUGUCUUCUGAGGAAGUAACUCUGCCCUCCAACAAAUGCCUGAUGAGCCUUGCAGGCAAUUUUCUAUUUCAAAAGGUAAAGGAGGAAACAAAAUAUCAGCAAUUCUGGACUUGAUCCUAAUCAGUAAGAAGGUUAUGGGAAUCACGGCAACUUUAGGGGGAGUGAACAUGUAAUAAUAGAAUUUGCAGUUGUGGAAGAGGAUGAAGAAGAGUAAAAUCAACCCAGACUUUGGAUUUCAGGAAAACUGAUUUUAACAUGCCAAUGUGAUGUCUCUACUCUUCACUAUUUUAUCAAGAUUGGUCAUUGCUCUCCUCCCAAGAAGUCAACAUCUUCUGAUUCCUGGCUGCAGUUUGCGUCUGCAGUAAUCUUUGCACCUAGAAAUACAAAGUCUGUCACUGCCUCCACUUUUUCUCCCUCUAUUUGCCAGUUAUCAAUCAGCCUGGUUGCCAUAAUCUUGGGUUUUUUAAAUGUUUAACUGCCACCCAUCUUUUGCAUUUUCUUCUUUCACCUUGGUUAUAAGGCUCCUCAGCUCCUCCUCGCUUUCAGCCAUCAAAGUGGUAUCAUCUGCAUAUGUAAGGUUGUUAAUGUUUCUUCCAGCAAUUUUAACUCUAGCCUUGGAUUCAUCAAGCCCCACAUGUCGCAUGAUGUGUUCUGCAUACAAGUUGAAUAGGUAGGGUGAAAGUAUGCAGUCCUGCCGUACUCCUUUCCCAAUCUUGAACCAGUCUGUUGUUCUGUGGUCUGUUCUUACUGUUGCUACUUGGUCGUUCUACAGAUUCCUCGGGAGACAGACAAAGUGACUUGGUAUUCCCAUCCCACCAAGAACUUGCCACAAUUUAUUAUGAUUCAGACAGUCAAAGGCUUUAGACUAGUCAGUAAAACAGAAAUAGAAUCUGACCUCUCUGCCAUGACCUUCCCAUCAUGGGUGUCCCUUCACGGUUUCGCUCAUGGCAUCAUUAAGGCGCCCAAGCUCCAGCACCACAACAAGGUGAUGAUCCUUUGUAGGAGAGUUCUUGAAUAAGGAGUUGCAAAAAAAGCACAAUCACAAGCACUCCCAUAAAAAAGAAAAAUGGGGAUAUCUGAAAAAGCUAAUGUGCCUCUACUGCAAGCUCAAAGAGGAAGUGGGGGAAAAAAGGAAUAUAGAGAGAAUGGAAAGAAGGAGAAAUCACCAAAGAAGAAUUCAGAUAUGCAGGCCAAGCUUCCAGGAAUAGCAUAAGGAAAGCUAUCCUAACAUUUCAAGCAUUUCUCACAGGGUAAGCUAGACACUGAAAAAUUGGAAAUUGUUCCACCCUAAACAUUGUUAGUAAACUUGAUGGUGAUGUACAAGUUGUAACUCUGACACAUGGGUUUGUAAGCAUGUUCAUUAGAGAACCCUAACGUAUUCUCAUCUCCCUUGUAUUGCUGAUGGUAAGUGCAUCCAUCAAGAGAUGGAUGGCAUGGAACACUGCUUGAAUCUGUACAAUAGUUUCUGCAUUACAAACCCACUUCAGCUCAUGUCUCAGGGAUGAAAGAGUGCAAAUUAGUUUGACUAAAGAUCCCAUGAUAUUUAUUUUUAAUCACUGCUCUCCGAAGGCUGGCACAUCACUCAUGGCAAGCAUUCUUCCUGAACACUCGUCUUCCCCCAAAUUGUAGACUAGACAGAGAUCCUUUCCUCUUCAAAUUCAUGUCAGGCAACUAAGCAGCUUCUGAUGACUUAGG
rnacentral:lncRNA from 1 species